rnacentral:rRNA from 1 species
UACGUAGGUGGCAAGCGUUGUCCGGAAUUACUGGGUUUAAAGGGUGCGUAGGCGGAUUAGUAAGUCAGUGGUGAAAGCCCAUCGCUUAACGGUGGAAUUGCCAUUGAUACUGCUAGUCUUGAGUAUGGUUGAGGUGGGCGGAAUGUGUCAUGUAGCGGUGAAAUGCUUAGAUAUGACCCAGAACACCAAUUGCGAAGGCAGCUCGCUAAACCAUAACUGACGCUGAUGCACGAAAGCGUGGGGAGCAAACAGG